UAAAAUGUAGCUAUGUAUAGCUGUAAAAAAAUAGCAUUUCAAAAUUCAACAGAUCUUUUCAAGGUAUAAAAACAAGCUUAAUUGUUCGUUAAAUUGAAACUUUAUAGCUUAAUAUUAUUAUAUUUGUGUAUAUUUAUGUACUGAAAUUUAAAUUUUCCAUGUAAAUGUAAAAAAGGACAAAGUGGCCCGAAGUAUAAUACUAAAUGAAUUUAAAGUGAAAAUCUAAGACAUGCUUGAAGUCAGAUUUGAAGAAAAAGCUCGCCAUUUGGUUUCCUCGUGCAAACGUCUUCCGCCAACUUUAAUACUUUUCUUAGAACGUCUCAUUAAUAAUAAAAUUUUGAAAUCCUGAACCUGCUCAAUCUGGUGAAUUUCUACAUCAAUACAAACAAUAGUGGUACAGCAUAACUAUAAACAUUUGUGCGUAUAUCUAGUCAGACAUACCACAAUUAACAUUUUAACUAUCAAUUUUGUGAACCUUAGCCGCUAAUAUUAAUUGAAAAUGGAAUGAAAAUAUUGAACAUCGUAGCGAGUACGUUUACUGUAUUUUCGUUGUACACAGAUCGUUUCCAGAAAUUUUUAUCUUCGUUUUAAAGGAGAAAGCGAUAGAGAAUGUGUCAGAUGUUGAAAAUUGUAAAAGGAUUGAGUACAUGUUUCUUAAAUUGCAAAAACUUAAGAACAUUAUUUCCUGUCAUUUGAGGAGAAAAUAGUUAUCGACAAAUAAAAUACAACAGAAAAGUGUUAUUCACCAAUUAAA